CAGUAGCCGCGGGAAUACAGAGGGUGCGAGCGUUAAUCGGAUUUACUGGGCGUAAAGCGUGCGUAGGCGGCUAAUUGAGUCGGAUGUGAAAUCCCCGAGCUUAACUUGGGAAUUGCAUUCGAUACUGGUUAGCUAGAGUGUGGGAGAGGAUGGUAGAAUUCCAGGUGUAGCGGUGAAAUGCGUAGAGAUCUGGAGGAAUACCGAAGGCGAAGGCAGCCAUCUGGCCUAACACUGACGCUGAGGUACGAAAGCAUGGGGAGCAAACAGGAUUAGAUACCCCCGUAGUCCCUGUCUCUUAUAC
rnacentral:rRNA from 1 species